UGCUUUAUAAUAGUGCAAACGUGCCGUUUUAGAAUCAACUGCGUUCGACGUGUUGUUUUUAAAGUUGUGGAUUUGAGAUUGAGACCACCGCGAGGCUCCAGUGCAGGUUUUCCAAGCAACACCUGCGAACCGAGAAAUUCAAUUAACAACUCCUCUUCCCACUUGGAGCCGGUCUCCAGGGCAGAUCUUCCGGGCGACUUGCCCCUGUAAGAAAUUAGAAAAAUGCUACAAUAAAACCCGAAAAAAAAAGAGUAAAAAAAAUAAUGUGGGAACUUAAAUAAUAAAAUCAUUCCCCACGUUAAACCGUUGAGAAGGUCUGCUUUUCAUCCGGGAGUCAGCGAGAGACGGAUAAGUAGCGCAGAUCAUUCAAGGAAACCCAUCUUCUAUAUUAAAAAUGCCACUGCUCGUACAACAUAAGAAAUCAGAUGGCAGCAGAGUGAACAUCAGCCAAAGGCGAUAAUUCCCAGAAGGAUCAGCUUCAACACAACUUUGUCCCCAGGAAGUGAAUCGCUCUGACCCAUACGAGCCGCAGUUUGACAAAGUUUCUAUAAAAUAUGAUGUAAUCCAGUCCACUGGGUGCAGCGGCUCCAUUAAACCUCGGAAAUGCGGCGUUCAUUAGUACCGAUGCUACAACAAGAUGAGGUGAGCCCCUCGAUGGAGUGACUCCCCAGGAAGAGAAAACGAGGUAGGACAAAUCCCCAACAUGACUGAUUACUGUCCCCACCAUCUCCCCUGUUCAUAUCUCCAACAAUAUCAGGCAUCUUCAUUAAUCCCCAUGGAUCAAUGUGUCUGGGGGUUGUAAAAAUUGACAAAUGACUUAUUAGAAUCCCACCGUUUUAUUUUCCAACUGAUUAACUCACAGCAAUGUUGUACACUAUACAGGCUCACUGAUGUAUCUGUUUUCCAAAGAGGGCCUCUCUUGCUUUCACUCGCGCUCUCUCUCUCUCUCUUUCUCUCUCUCUCUCUCUUUCUGUCUUCUCCUCUCCCUGUCUUACUAUGAGGAAUCUAUACUGAAUCCAAUGCACUCUGAACACAGUGUGUUAGAAAUGCCGCCAGGCUGAAAUGAUCCAAAACCCAGAACAAUGUACAGUUGACAUUAACAUUUCAUAUAGACACUAAUUGUUUGAAUUUCUGUUUCUUGACAGAAUAUGAUUAUUUAGCCAUUGCUUAGCUGAUUUGUAGUUCUAAAGGUAUAAAAAUACACAUAUUCACAUGAAUGGGUACAUUACAAAGCUGUAAAAGCUUUACAUUUCAAUUGAAAAAUACAAAAAAGCAACAGCAGCAUUGGCCUUGUUUCUCUGUUUGGAGCUUAUGUGCUGUGUUCUUGUUAUCUCAGUUGUUAAUUGUAACUUGACGCUCUUUUACGCCUGUUUUAUGUCUAGAUGUUGCUGCAGUAACAUCCCACAUUGUCAUCUUGACAAAAUAAUAUAAUGUUUCCACUAUAUGGCAUUUAUUACUGUAACAGACAUUAGACACAGACAUCUAAGUACAGAUGACAUCCACCAAAUUAACAAGAGUAUAAAACCUUUUGUUGCUGAUAAAAAAAAAAAAAAAAAAGAUCUGCCUCUGUACAAUUUGACUCUCGAGAGGACACUAAUGACUUGUGAC